rnacentral:rRNA from 1 species
CAGUCGCCACGGGAAUACGAAGGGUGCAAGCGUUAAUCGGAAUUACUGGGCGUAAAGCGUGCGUAGGCGGUUUGUUAAGUCUGCUGUGAAAUCCCCGGGCUCAACCUGGGAAUGGCAGUGGAUACUGGCAAGCUAGAGUGUGUCAGAGGAUGGUGGAAUUCCCGGUGUAGCGGUGAAAUGCGUAGAGAUCGGGAGGAACAUCAGUGGCGAAGGCGGCCAUCUGGGACAACACUGACGCUGAGGCACGAAAGCGUGGGGAGCAAACAGGAUUAGAUACCCGCGUAGUCCCUGUCUCUUAUAA